rnacentral:rRNA from 1 species
GCAAGUCGAGGGGUAACAUUGUGCUUGCACAGAUGACGACCGGCGCACGGGUGCGUAACGCGUAUAGAACCUACCUUUUACAGAGGGAUAGCCUUUAGAAAUGAAGAUUAACACCUCAUAGUAUUAUUGAUUGGCAUCAAUUAAUAAUUAAACAUUUAUGGGUAAAAGAUGGCUAUGCGUCCUAUUAGCUAGAUGGUAAGGUAACGGCUCACCAAGGCAACGAUGGGUAGGGGGCCUGAGAGGGUGGUC